CAAUGUCAUUUGCCCAUGGGGGGCAGAGUCCAUGUUUCCUGUCUGAACUUAUGUAUGAGUGUCUUCAAAAGGGCCCCUUACAAUGUAAAGGUUAAAACUGAAGAUAUUACAGAUGAAGAAACAAGGUCACAGUUGCAGCCGAUCUUACAGGCCCAGACUGAUUCACAACUACAAAAUGCAGUUGCACAGGCUGCUAGCUUAAUCAGACUUGCUGGUCACAAUGUACGCAUAACACUGGAAAACAAACAGGAGACUGCUUUGGAUCUGGCUCAUUGGUAUGUCCUUCAGCGGACCCGUGCACCAUUUGAAAGGUUCAGAGAUGGCUUAACGUCUCUGGGUGUCCUAGAUGCUCUCCAAAACUAUCCUGUUCAGUCAAAGUGCCUUUUUGUGAAGGCUGAAAAGGCCUUAACCUCAAAUGAUGUGGAGAAUCUCUUCCAAAUCAUUCAUUCCGAAAGAGGGAGUAAUGCAUUUCAAGCAGAGUGCCGGACCCUGGCUUUCUGGCAAGACUAUCUUCAGGAUGCU